AGUCAAUUUCAAAGUUCAAACCGUAGCUCAUUGGCGAUUGAAGAUGGUGAUCAAGGCAGAGAAAUUCACGAAGAAUCAUUCGAAAAGGGUUGUUACUAAACUCUUCGUUUUGUAUAACAAAACAGGCGGUGCUGAUUUUUUGGUUGUUUUAGACAAUUUGGUAUUAUCAAGAGACUGAGGAUUGCGAGAAAUAAAAGGGCAAAAGUCAGCUGUCGAGAUCCAUUAUGCAGUAUUCCAGCAAAGCAAAUGUCAUCC